AGAACAGGGCAAAACCGGACAAAUGACAGUGAAAAGCGGACUAGUGGCAACUCUAUCACUCCGUUGUUUUCUUGUUUCUUUCUCUCCUAUUCUCACACUCCGCUCCAGUAGGGGGCGAUAUGGUAGCGCUACAGCUUCAAACUUCCCGUUUAACACUUUCGCACGUUUCCGUCUGCGCCAUUUUCUUCUGCCAAAUGUUCGGUUCGUGCACCACAUCUUGGUGAUUCACAAACUAAUUGUACACUACUCUACUAAAACAUGGGAAGGAAAAAGAAGAAGCAGAUGAAGCCAUGGUGUUGGUAUUGUAAUAGGGAUUUUGAUGACGAAAAGAUUCUUAUUCAGCACCAGAAAGCCAAACACUUUAAGUGUCACAUAUGUCAUAAAAAGCUAUACACUGGUCCGGGCCUGGCCAUCCACUGUAUGCAGGUUCACAAAGAAACAAUUGAUGGUGUUCCCAAUGCAAUACCUGGAAGAACAGACAUUGAACUGGAAAUUUAUGGGAUGGAGGGUAUUCCAGAGAAAGAUAUGGAAGAAAGGAGACGGGUACUCGAGCAGAAAACACAGGAAAACCAGAAAAAGAAACAGAACCAAGAUGACUCAGAUGAGGAUGAUGAUGAUGAAGAGGCAGGACCCUCAUUCCAGCAGGCAGCAGCCCAGCCUCCGGCCGCUUACACUCCUAUGACACAGCCUGGAAUGGCGCCUGUGCCCACACCAGGGAUGCCACCUGGGAGCUACUCAGGAAUGCCACCAAUGAUGCCUGCAGUCCCCCCCAUGAUGCCAGGGAUGCCCCCAGUCAUGCCAGGAAUGCCACCUGGCAUGAUGCCCAUGGGUGGGAUGAUGCCACCUGGACCAGGAAUGCCUCCGAUGAUGCCAGGCAUGCCACCAGGCAUGCCCCCUCCUAUGGGUCAUCGUCCAGGUAUGAACCACAUGCCACAGGCUCCUGCCUCCACCACGUCAGGCAUGAUCCCACGAGCAGCCACACCUGCAGCCACAGUGGCUGCUCCACAGCCUGCUGUCACCAAGCCCUUGUUUCCUAGUGCAGGACAGAUGGGGACUCGAGCUCCCAGCACAAGCUCAGCCUCUUCCAGUAUGGACACUUUGUCAGCACCCUCUAAGCCGCUGUCGCAAGCUCAGCAGGGUGUGCCUGGGGCAGCAGUGGGGCUUUCAGCCUCUUCUUCUGCUGCUCCCAAAGCCACAUUCCCAGCCUACAGUCAGCCUGCGCCCUCUGCUGCCAGUGCAGGCAGCACUGUGGCCAAACCUGCCACCCCCAUUACAAGUAAGCCUGCCACCCUCACCACUACCAGUGCAACCAGUAAGUUGAUCCACCCUGAUGAGGAUAUCUCUCUGGAAGAGCUGCGUGCUCAACUACCACGCUACCAGUGUAAGAUCCCUAGCACAGGGCAGACGCACAUCAGCACUCCUCCUGUUGGGCCAAUGGGAGGGGUGAUACCUGCUCAGCAGGGUGCUUCUUCACAGCAGCCAGGAGCCAGGCAUCCCAUGCAUGGGCCAUAUGGUACCCCAUCCCAGGCAGUGCCUGGCUAUGUGCCAGGGGCAAUGUCACCUUACGGGCAAGGCCCCCCAAUGGUUCCUCCUUACCAGGGAGCUCCUCCAAGGCCGCCCAUGGCCAUGAGGCCUCCUGUAAUGUCCCAGGGAGGCCGUUAUUGAAGCUCAAACACCAGUCUCCGAUAGGUUUGGUUUUUAGAAGUGAAGUUUAGUAAAUAUGGUUCGUAAUAAUUUGAAGCGGCUGGAGUAACGUGAACAGUACUGCACCUUUUAUCAAGCGAUGCCAUGGGACCGGCUGAGGUUGAGUCUCACUGGUGCCCUGUUCAGGCUGAGGCAAGUCUCAUAUUUUUCUCUUUAAAUUCUUACGAGCGGGGGGCCCUCACAGCCUCAUGGCUGUUGGAUUCCAAUGUCCCCAAACUUGUAGCAAGUUUGGUGAUGGCCCCUGUUAUUAUUCACAUUAGAGAAAUCCUAUAACUAACCUCUUCUGCUUUUGUUUCCGAAGUGCAGAGGUGGGAACAAGUAACAAGUAAGUUUCAAGUCUUAAUACUCAAGUCCUAAGUAAAGACAGAGGAGUCCCAAAUCCUGAACAAGUCAAAAUGCGUUCCUUACCACAUUGAAUCCCAUUUAAAAAUUUAACAUUAACAAAGUAUUAAAGCCAUGGUAUAUUAUUUAUAAAUGUUGUUAACAACAGAAUAAACAAAAAUGUAUUCUUUGGACCACACCUAAAAUGACAUAAACAUGUGGCACUGAUCAAAAAAAAGUGUUUUGGAAUUGACCCUGCAGUGGUAUGUGGCAUUUAUUUGCCUUUGUGGUAAAGGCACUUAUUUGCCUUUGCUUCCCAAACUCCAGAAAAUAACUCUUCCAGAAAGUAACUUUAGUUGUGCUUUCCCCAAACUUAUAAUGUGCAUCAUGCACAUUAAAAUAAUAAAAUAAUACUGCUCAGGGAUGUCAAACUCCAGUCUUGGUGGGAUACAGACUUAUUUAUUUUUCCUCUUUUGACAAGCCAAAUGUAGACCAUGAAGGUCUCUGUAAUUACCUGAUGAGUUUAUUCAGCUGUGUAAAUAUAGAUAAAAUGCUAAAAUUUUGCAGUCCUCCAGGACUGGAGUCUGACACCCCAAUAUAGUAUUUACCAAUACUACUCAGUUGAUAAAUAGCUUAACUUUAAAGUAAAAAAUAAAAGUAAAGGUGCAGUCACAUUUAGGAACUGUGGUUUAAAAUAAUAGAUUUCCUGCUGUCCAGCACUACCAACACUAAAUGCUAAAUGCAGAUCUUUACCUGAUAUUGGUCAACCUGAAUACUCAAUCUUAUUUGGUUUAGUUAUCAGACAAAACUACUUAAAUGUCUGCUAAUAGAUUUCUAACUAUUUAUGGAGGUCUAGACAUACUGUUCCUUGUGUAGCCUCUAAGGCCAAAUGAGAUUGGAGGUAAUGCUUGCCCAAAUGUUUUAUUAACAUUUGUUGUUAACAGCCUAGUGUUUGUAAUUAGAGUUGCUAGUUCUUGGUAGCAUGUUGACACCUGCUCAAGUGUCCCUUUAUUUAAACACUGGUGCGAUCCCUCCAUCUCCCAAGAGGAGUAAGUUUAUGGGUGUUAAAGUCAAGUUGCAAGUCUUAAUUAUUUUUAGGUUGAGUCUUUAGUGAUUAAAUUUGUGACUUGACCAAGCCAUGUGACUCAAGUCCCACUCUUCUGCCAAAGUGAUACCCAGUUCUCUAGUUGGUGCUCGUGACUAUCAGAUGUAAUGUACUAAUGAUGUUUUUUCUUAGAGCCCUCAAACAUUUUUUUUAACUCAGUACGCGGUGCCUGUGUUUGAGCAAGCAGUUAUACUGAAAUUUACAAUGGAUUUACAAAAUAUACUGAUAACUCAAUGGAUAAGCAAAAACCAAAGCUAAUUUUUGAGCUUUGGUACGAUGCAGCCAAUAUCUAAUGGUACAGCAGACAUUGAGAUAUUUUUCUAAAAUGGCACUAAAGGAAUACUCAGUAUGCACUGGCAAUUUUUUAUUUAAGAUAACACAGAUAUGACUUUUGCAGUGCUGUUUGUUGGUCUUGCUCUUCGUGUUUGUUUCACAUCAGAUACUGAUCAUAUUACCUGUUGUCACUGACUCAGGUUAGUCUUUUAAAUGGCAAGCUUUCUGCCCAAAUCUUUUAGUUCUCUCUUGUUUUUCCAAUUUUUUUCCCCCCCAAUUUUUAUUUAUUUAUUUAUUUUUUUUAUAAAUGGUUUGACUGCUUUUUGUAGCUGUGCUACAGCUGGUUUACAUUAGACUUACUGUGGACCAGAGCAGUUUGUGUAGCUGUAGAGAAAUGACAUCUGUUGCAUACCUGUAAUGAUAACUUUACACCACGUAUACAAUGGAUAUAAAAGGUCUACACACCCCUGUUAAAAUGGCAGGAUUUGUGAAGUAAAUAAUGACACUAAGAUAAAUCUUAAAUGUCAGAUCUUGUCAUCUUUGAUGUGCAACUGCAAAGUACAGUGCAGUGAAAAACAAUCAGAAACUUUGAUUGAUUAAAUUAUCUAUUUGCACAAGUGUGCACACCCCUAAACUAAUACUUUGUUGAAUCACUUUUUGAUUUUAUUACACCACUCAGUCUUUUUGGGUAAGAGUCUAUCAUCGUGACUUGGCAAUAUUUUCCACUUUUCCUAGUGAAAACAUUCUAGAUCUGUCAAAUUGUGAGGGCAUCUCCUGUGCACAGCCCACUUCAGGUCACCCCACAAAUUUUUAGUUGGAUUCAUGUCUGGGCUCUGGCUAGGCCAUUCAAAAACUUUGAUCUCCUUUGGUUAAGCCAUUCCUUUGUUGGUUUGGAUGUAUGGUUUGGGUCACUGUCGUACUGAAAGGUGAAAUUCCGUUUCAUCUUCAGCUUACUAGCAGACCCCUGAAGGUUUUGCACUAAAAACAACAGGCAUUCAUGAUUCUCUCCACCUUGAUAGCCCCAGGUCUGGCUGAAGAAAAGCAGCCCAAAGCAUGAUGCUGGCAUACCCAUGCUUCAUCACGGGUAUGGUGUUCUUUUGGUGUUUUUUUUAUUUAUUUAUUUAUUUUUUUGGUGCCGAACAUGCCUUUUGGAAUUGGUCUCAUCAGACCAUGACACAUUUUACCACAUAGUUUGGAGUAAUUUAGUUGAGCUUGGAUGAUUUUUGUGAGAGAGGGCUUUUUAUCUAGCCACCCUAUCCUAUAGCUCAGGCAUAUGAAUAAUAUGAGAGGUUGUUGUCACAUGCAGAGAGUAAUCAGUACUUGUCUGAUAUUCCUGCAGCUCCUUUAAUGUUGACGUAGGUCUCCUGGCAGCCUCCCUAGUAAGUUUUUGUCUUGUCCUUUUGUAAUUUUUGGAGGGACAUCCUUUUCUUGGUAAUGUCACUGAGGAGCUCCAUUUUCUCCACUUGUUGAUGAUGGCCUUCACUGUGUUCAAUUGUCCAGCUAAUGUUUUGGAAAUUCUUUUAUAUCCCUCUCCAGAUCGAUUCAUUUUGACAGUGAGACCAUGUACAGUCUUUGUCAGUUCUUUACAGACCAUGGCUUCAGCGGUCAGAUGAAACCAUGAUAUCAAGGAAAUCCUACAGAAACAGCUGGUCUUUAUUUGGGGUUAAUCAGAAUAAUUUCAUUGAUGACAGCUGUAUGAUAAUUACUUUUGAACAUGAGACUGAAUGUGAUUGGUUCAUUCUAAACAUAGCCACAUCCCCAAUUAUAAAAGGGUGUGCACAAUUACGAAACAAGGUUAUUGUAACUUAAAAAAGGUUAUUUUUCCUAUUUUUCCCUAAAAUGUUUCUGAUUGUUUUUCACUUAAUUUUUAUACAUUCUAAUUUCACAAUGAGGAUGAAAAAAGUUCUGACAUGAUUUAUCUUGGUUUAAUUUUUUUUUCAUCACAAAAACUUACCAUUUUAAAAGGGGUGUGUAUACUUUUUAUAUCCCCUGUAGACUAAAUCAUCACCUUUUUUUCGAAUAAAUAUUUGUUAAAAGAUUAACAAAAUUAUGUGCAAAUUAAAUUGAAAUACAUUUUGUAUUAAUUUUAUUUGAAUAUUUGUUGUACGGUUUAGAAUUUUUUGGGGGGAAAUUUAGAAAAUACUAUUUGUUGUUGCUUAACCUAGAGAUGCUACACCUGAAUUCGUUUUUAUAACAUGAAUUUAUAUUGUCUCCAGUGAGAUGCUUUUGCUCAUGAAUCUUUAAAAAAAAAAAAAAAAACUCUGGUUUUGUCUGCUUCAUUGCUGUUAUGUUGUAUGUCUGUGAACGUGCACACACUCAGAGGAGUACAUCCAUCACUUAGUGUUCACCGUUUCAGUAGUAGUCAGCAUUGUGUGAUGUGUCGUCAGCUCCAGUGGUAUGAUGUGGAUAUGUAAUAUGAUUUAAAAAAUGUUACUUAAUGGAUAAUAAUGGAAAAAAAUAUUACAUUUCAGAAUCUUCUGCUUAAAGCUCUUCACUGUGUUUUUGUAACUUACAACAUAUUAAAGGUAAAAUGAGUUUUUAAUACAACACCAGCAGAGUAUCAUUAGAAAAAGUUUGUUUUCCUCCAUCAUUGAAAUAAAGUAUACAUAAAGACUA